rnacentral:rRNA from 1 species
GUCGAGCGGAGUUUUAAAAGCUUGCUUUUAAAACUUAGCGGCGGACGGGUGAGUAACACGUGGGCAACCUGCCUUACAGACUGGGAUAACUCCGGGAAACCGAAGCUAAUACCGGAUGACCAAUGGGACCGCAUGGUCCGAUUGUAAAAGUUGGGAGCAAUCCUAACACUGUGAGAUGGGCCCGCGGCGCAUUAGCUAGUUGGUGGGGUAAUGGCCUACCAAGGCGACGAUGCGUAGCCGACCUGAGAGGGUGAUCGGCCACACUGGAACUGAGACACGGUCCAGACCCCUACGGGAGGCAGCAGUAGGGAAUCAUCCGCAAUGGGCGAAAGCCUGACGGUGCAACGCCGCGUGGACGAUGACGGUCCUCGGAUUGUAAAGUUCUGUUGUUAGGGAAGAACAAGUACCGUUCGAAUAGGGCGGUACCUUGACGGUACCUGACCAGAAAGCCCCGGCUAACUACGUGCCAGCAGCCGCGGUAAUACGUAGGGGGCAAGCGUUGUCCGGAAUUAUUGGGCGUAAAGCGCGCGCAGGUGGUCUCUUAAGUCUGAUGUGAAAGCCCACGGCUCAACCGUGGAGGGUCAUUGGAAACUGGGAGACUUGAGUGUAGGAGAGGAAAGUGGAAUUCCACGUGUAGCGGUGAAAUGCGUAGAUAUGUGGAGGAACACCAGUGGCGAAGGCGACUUUCUGGCCUAUAACUGACACUGAGCGCGAAAGCGUGGGGAGCAAACAGGAUUAGAUACCCUGGUAGUCCACGCCGUAAACGAUGAGUGCUAGUGUUAGGGUUUCGAUACCUUAGUGCCGCAGUUACACAUAAGCACUCGCCU